rnacentral:rRNA from 1 species
GACGAACGCUGGCGGCGUGCUUAACACAUGCAAGUCGAACGGAAAGGCCCUGCUUUUGUGGGGUGCUCGAGUGGCGAACGGGUGAGUAACACGUGAGUAACCUGCCCUUGACUUUGGGAUAACUUCAGGAAACUGGGGCUAAUACCGGAUAGGAGCUCCUGCUGCAUGGUGGGGGUUGGAAAGUUUCGGCGGUUGGGGAUGGACUCGCGGCUUAUCAGCUUGUUGGUGGGGUAGUGGCUUACCAAGGCUUUGACGGGUAGCCGGCCUGAGAGGGUGACCGGCCACAUUGGGACUGAGAUACGGCCCAGACUCCUACGGGAGGCAGCAGUGGGGAAUAUUGCACAAUGGGCGGAAGCCUGAUGCAGCAACGCCGCGUGCGGGAUGACGGCCUUCGGGGUGUAACCCGCUUUCGCCUGUGACGAAGCGGGAGGGACGGUAAUGGGUAAAGAAGCACCGGCUAACUACGUG